UGAGGAAUAUUGCGCAAUGGGGGCAACCCUGACGCAGCAACGCCGCGUGAGUGAGGAAGGUUUUCGGACCGUAAAGCUCUGUCGAGCGGGAAGAAAUGCAUGGUGGCUAAUAUCCAUUAUGCUUGACGGUACCGCUAAAGGAAGCACCGGCUAACUCCGUGCCAGCAGCCGCGGUAAUACGGGGGGUGCAAGCGUUGUUCGGAAUCAUUGGGCGUAAAGAGCGUGUAGGCGGCUGGAUAAGUCAGAUGUGAAAGCCCUGGGCUUAACCCGGGAAGUGCAUUUGAAACUGUUGAGCUUGAGUAAGGGAGAGGAAAGUGGAAUUCCUGGUGUAGAGGUGAAAUUCGUAGAGAUCAGGAGGAACACCGGUGGCGAAGGCGACUUUCUGGCCCUAUACUGACGCUGAGACGCGAGAGCGUGGGUAGCAAACA
rnacentral:rRNA from 1 species